GCCUCCAUUGGAUAGCUCAGUUAGUAGAGAAUAAGACUUUUAAUCUCAGGGCUCUGGGUUUGAGCCCCACAAAAAGAUUCCGGCA